rnacentral:tRNA from 1 species
UGCCCGGUAGCUCAGUUGGCAGAGCGGCCGGCUGUUAACCGGCGGGCCGAGGGUUCGAGUCCCUCCCGGGCAGCCA